GACGAACGCUGGCGGCGUGCUUAAUACAUGCAAGUCAACUGAACUUGAGGUAGUAAUAUUUCAAGGGAGGUGGCGCACGGGUGAGUAACACGUAGGUAAUCUGCCUUUAGGUCUGACAUAAUCCAGCGAAAGCUGGACUAAAAUCAGAUGAUGCAGCGGCUCGACAUCGAGACAGUUGUUAAACCUUCGGGGCCUAAAGAUGAGCCUGCGUCUGAUUAGGUAGUUGGCGGAGUAAGAGCCCACCAAGCCUUCGAUCAGUAGCUGGUCUGAGAGGAUGAUCAGCCACACUGGAACUGAGACACGGUCCAGACUCCUACGGGAGCAGCAGUAAGGAAUAUUGCUCAAUGGCCGAAAGGCUGAAG
rnacentral:rRNA from 1 species